GAACAGGUUUGACUGCUGGGAUGGGAC
rnacentral:sRNA from 1 species